rnacentral:rRNA from 1 species
UACGUAGGGGGCGAGCGUUGUCCGGAUUCAUUGGGCGUAAAGCGCGCGUAGGCGGCCCGGUAAGUCGGAUGUGAAAUCUCACGGCUCAACCGUGGAACUGCAUUCGAAACUGUCGGGCUAGAGGCAGGUAGGGGAGAUCGGAAUUCCCGGUGUAGCGGUGAAAUGCGCAGAUAUCGGGAGGAACACCGGUGGCGAAGGCGGAUCUCUGGGCCUGUCCUGACGCUCAGGCGCGAAAGCUAGGGGAGCGAACAGG